ACGGGAGGCAGCAGUAGGGAAUCUUGCACAAUGGGCGAAAGCCUGAUGCAGCAACGCCGCGUGAAGGAUGAAGGCCUUCGGGUUGUAAACUUCUGUUCUUGGGAAAGAAACAAAUGACGGUACCCAAGGAGUAAGCCCCGGCUAACUACGUGCCAGCAGCCGCGGUAAUACGUAGGGGGCAAGCGUUAUCCGGAAUUAUUGGGCGUAAAGAGUGCGUAGGUGGUUACCUAAGCGCAAGGUUUAAACUAUCGGCUUAACUGAUAAUUGCCUUGCGAACUGGGUUACUUGAGUGCAGGAGGGGAAAGCGGAAUUCCUAGUGUAGCGGUGAAAUGCGUAGAUAUUAGGAGGAACACCAGCGGCGAAGGCGGCUUUCUGGACUGUAACUGACACUGAGGCACGAAAGCGUGGGGAGCAAACAGGAUUAGAUACCCUGGUA
rnacentral:rRNA from 1 species